ACUCAAAUGAAUUGACGGGGGCCCGCACAAGCAGUGGAGUAUGUGGUUUAAUUCGAAGCAACGCGAAGAACCUUACCAAGGCUUGACAUAACAAUGAAAAGUGUAGAGAUACACUCCUCCUUUCGGGGACAUUGCUACAGGUGGUGCAUGGUUGUCGUCAGCUCGUGUCGUGAGAUGUUGGGUUAAGUCCCGCAACGAGCGCAACCCUUGUCGUUAGUUGCUACAUUAAGUUGAGCACUCUAGCGAGACUGCCGGUGAUAAAUCGGAGGAAGGUGGGGAUGACGUCAAAUCAUCAUGCCCCUUAUGUCUUGGGCUACACACGUACUACAAUGGACGUAACAGAGGGAAGCAAUAUCGCGAGGUGGAGCAAAUCCCUAAAAAACGUCCCCAGUUCAGAUUGUAGGCUGAAACUCGCCUACAUGAAGUUGGAAUUGCUAGUAAUCGCAGGUCAGCAUACUGCGGUGAAUACGUUCCCGGGCCUUGCACACACCGCCCGU
rnacentral:rRNA from 1 species